UUCUUUUCUUUUCUCUCUCUCUCUUUCUUUUGAAAGAGGGGUUGGUAAGAUGGCAUAUGAAUUUAGGAUGUUAAAGUUCCACAAGUAAAUCUCUUUCGUGUUUGUGGAUGUUAAUUUGGAGAAAUUAAUUAAGUGGAGAUGAAUUCUGGCCUCAGAUAUCAAAGGGAAUGAUUAGCAUUUUAUCUCAUAUCAUACACUGGGAAGAACAGUGCAGGGGGUCAUUUUGCUGGUGAAUAUCAUCUCCAUAGCCUGUAGAGGUUGUAAAAUACCCAAAAAUGUUUCUGAUAACUUUUGCAUAAGAAAUAGAGAAUAAAUUUUGCAAAUAGAAUGGUAUUUUGAUUUAGAAAUCAAAAUACUAUGCAUAUUUUCUAGGCUAUUGCUAUAGAGAAAAUUUAAAAAUGAAAUUGCUUGAUAUAAUCUUGUCUGAUGACUUGUUAUUCCUGUGAUGUUAUAUAUGGUACUGAAAAUGAUUUUUCUAAAAAGGCAUACUUCAUAAAAGAAUCUUAAAAAUUCAUACUUUGUCACUGUCAUUGACAAAAGAAACACUUAACGCAUACUUCUGAAUGAGAAGUAAUCUUUGAAACUCAUCUUUCUGCUAGAAGUUUGGAAAGAAAUUGGAUAUUGUGACUGUAGACUCAGUCCAAUGCUUACUAGGUAUUUAUUUGUUGAUUCAUUUUUUAGAUGUUGCAUCACACUUUGUGGUGCAGCAUGUAUAUCUUCAUAGAAGGAGCAGGUGGGGGUGGAGAAUCCAGGUAAAUUGGCAAAAUUUUGUUGCUUAUGAGAAGACAACAAAUAAGAAGAAUAAAGGGAAGGUACUUCUGAAGUUCUGAUGCUUUGGCAAAGGCCUUCCCAUCUUCUUCUUUUGUAUAUGAGUUUGCAAUUUCUACCAUUAGCCUGACCUUUUGAAUUAAUGGUUUAGAAAAGAAGCAUGCUGUAUAUUCCCAAGGUACUGUUAUGCCUGAAAUUCAGGCAUAUCCGCAUAACGCCAAAGAAGAGAAAUAAUUAUCAUAAAAAAUUUAUGCUUUUUAUUAAAAAAAUUGUUCAUGUUUGUGUUUUUGAUGAACUUCAAAUUUGGUACUAAUUUAUUAAUUCUUAUUAAUACUCUAUAUUUUCUGCAGAAGAAUUAUUUUGCUGGGUGAUUU
rnacentral:misc_RNA from 1 species